GAUCAACGCUGGCGGCGUGCCCAAUGCAUGCAAGUCGAGCGGGGUGGGCUUCGGUCCACUUACGCGGCGGACGGGUGCGGAACACGUGGGCAACCUGCCCUGAGGUGGGGGAUAGCCGGGGGAAACGCCGGGUAAUUCCGCAUACGCUCACAGACCGGAGGGUGUGUGAGGAAAGGGUCUUCGGACUCGCCUUGGGAGGGGCCUGCGGCCGAUUAGCUAGACGGUGGGGUAACGGCCUACCGUGGCGAUGAUCGGUAGCUGGUCUGAGAGGACGGCCAGCCACACGGGGACCGAGACACGGCCCCGACUCCUACGGGAGGCAGCAGCAAGGAAUCUUCCGCAAUGGGCGACAGCCUGACGGAGCAACGCCGCGUGUGGGAUGACGCCUUUCGGGGUGUAAACCACUUUUCUCAGGGAAGAAGCACUGACGGUACCUGAGGAAGAAGGACCGGCUAACUACGUGCCAGCAGCCGCAGUAA
rnacentral:rRNA from 1 species